CCCGUGCCAGGGGUGUGGGUACAGAGCCUCACUGCCCCGUGCCGGGAUGUAGGUACAGAGCCUCACUUCCCCGUGCCAGGGGUGUGGGUACAGAGCCUCACUGCCCCGUGCCAGGGGUGUGGGUACAGAGCCUCACUGCCCCGUGCCGGGGUGUGGGUACAGAGCCUCACUGCCCCGUGCCGGGAUGUGGCCUUGGCUCUGUGCUUGGCUAGGUGCUCCGUGGCCAGGAGUGCUGUCCUGAGGUGACUGUGGACUUAGGGCCUUUCCUGGUAAGGUGGCACUGGCUAUCCUUGUCCCGGGGUCCCCUUACUUCUGCCUCCUGUGUCCUGCAUUUUGCCCAACCUGUUGUGGCUGCCCCUUUGCCCAGAGGCCCCUACAGCCCCGUGUUGGCUGCCCUCAGAGUGGCACCCAACUGACCAUCACACUCACAGAAAACCCUGCCUCUGCCCUUCUGGACCAGGCCCCAUCCACAGGAUGCGCUGGGGAUCUGGAUGUGGCCCUGCGCCCGCAUUCCCACGAGGACUUCCGCAGCUCAGCCGGCCGCAGAUCCGGACCUCCGGCGCGGGCCGGCACACACAAAGGCAAGCUCUGUCGAGGGUGCAUAAUGGGCUGCCCUUUCAUCGGCGCUGCUAACCUUUUGGCAGCCACCAGCAGACUGCAUUCUGCCGGGCUGUUCGAGAAGGACAA